AAAGUUUGUACGACAAAGGCUUCGUCGCACAAAGGUCAUUCAGUUUUGGGUUAAAGCAUUCAAUGCAUGUGAAUUAGAGGAAUCAGGAUCAUAUUUUGUGCGGAUGUUUGCGCGACAAAGGUUUCGUCGCGCAAAGUCCUUAACCUUCCUAUAAAUAUGCGCUUCUGCUCUCAUGGUUCUUCACAAUUUGUUCCAGAAACGCUUUACAAUUUUUCAGAUUAUCAUCAAUUUGUUCUUUGAUUGUUGGUAUAAUGGGCGAUGGUGGUGCGCGUUCAUCAAAGACAAUGGAUGGCGAAGGUUCCAAAAAAGACAAGAAGAAAAGAGCUGCGGUACGGGUUCGACACACUUACGGGUUGUGAAGUCAGAUAUGCGCACUAGUUUUUGGUUCGACGUUGGAGUAUUGUUGUGUGACAAAUAUGUUGCAGAUUUGGAGUCUAGGAAAGCCAUCCUUGAGGAGCCUAAUUGGGACAUUCGUAAAAAUAACCCAAAUUUGAUGAAGACAAUCGAUAACAUGUUCAAGCCUCGUAUCUAGGAGUGGAAGUUUGAUAAUCAACGUGAGGCUGAACUACAGCGAGAACCAGAACUAUCGGUGGAGGAGUAGAAUAGUGUUUUUUAUUUUAAUUUUAGUGCUUAUUUAAUAAUGAGAUAUGAAUUAGAACUUUUUUAUU